rnacentral:vault_RNA from 1 species
GCGUUGGUUUGGCUCAGCGGUUACUUCUGAUUGACCAGAUCACCGUCUCAUGUCCGUCGGGGAACCGGAGAUCGUACCUCGCGCGCUGUCCAACGUUUAU